AGGACGAACGCUGGCGGCGUGCCUAAUGCAUGCAAGUCGCACGCAGAGAGCUUGCUUUCUGAGUGGGCGCGACGGACGUGAGGAUCACGUGGGAACAUGCCUCCUUGUGGGGGACAACACCGCGAAAGCGGUGCUAAUCCCGCAUACGCUCGGGUAACCGAGGAAAGCGGCAACGCGCAGGGAGAGUGGCCCGCGGCCCAUCAGGUCGUUGGUGGGGUAAUGGCCCACCAAGCCGGUGACGGGUAGCUGGUCUGUGAGGACAGACAGCCAGACUGGGACUGAGACACGGCCCAGACUCCACGGGAGCAGCAGCAAGGAUUUCGCAAUGGGCGCAAGGCCUAGGAACGAGCAACGCCGCGUGGAGAUGACGGCCGUUCGGGUUGUAAACGUCCGUUUUUCGGGACGUAUAAGUCGGAACGGUAACCCCGGAAGUAACGGCUCGGACUAACGUC
rnacentral:rRNA from 1 species